UGAGGGUAGAGACGGAGGGCAUAUGUAGGGGACAUAUAUUUUUGGAUCAAGGAUUGAAAAAAUCGAACGGAAGCAAUCCGUGGACGGGAUAUUCCCCAAUAUCCGUUGCAUGGACAGUCAAUGUGGAUGAAGUCCUUAAUUACAUUAAACAAGAGUUGAUGAAACCAU